CCGGCGCACGGGUGAGUAACACGUAUGGAACCUGCCCUAUGCAGGGGGAUAAGCGGAAGAAAUCCCGUCUAAUACCGCAUAACACCUUUAGGAGACAUCUUCUUGGGGUCAAAGGAGGCGACUCCGGCAUAGGAUGGCCAUGCGUCGCAUUAGCUAGUCGGCGGGGUAACGGCCCACCGAGGCGACGAUGCGUAGGGGUUCUGAGAGGAAGGUCCCCCACACUGGUACUGAGACACGGACCAGACUCCUACGGGAGGCAGCAG
rnacentral:rRNA from 1 species